UUUUGUAGCCAACCACCUUGAGCCGCGAUCUCGUCAGUUCUUGUUAGGCAAAUGAAGCAGAGGCGGGUCAGUCUGUGGAUGGGAGACCUCUGGGGACAGCUGAAUGCUGUAGCAU
ensembl:rRNA 5S_rRNA 5S ribosomal RNA